GGAUGGCAGGCCUUUUUUGGGAAAAGAUUUGAGCUUAUGGCAAUAUGAGAUACUCAAAUAUUCAAGAGAUGUCAGGUUCUGAAAGCCUCUAGUAGAUAGGUAUCUCAGAUUUGGAAAUUUUAUAAUUGACAAGCUUGUUAAGGAGGCUGGCAGCAUCAUUCUUAACUCAUCCUGUGGGAAGGACACCACGUCAAUACAUCCACCUUCAAUGUAGAGGUCUUUCAAAGAGUUUAGUCUC
rnacentral:misc_RNA from 1 species